rfam:Salmo salar isolate Sally breed double haploid chromosome ssa06, whole genome shotgun sequence.
UGCAUUCACUACUGUAAGUCACUCUGGAUAAGAGCGUCUGUUAAAUUACUAAAA